GACGAACGCUGGCGGCGUGCCUAAUACAUGCAAGUAGAACGCACAGUUUAUACCGUAGCUUGCUACACCAUAAACUGUGAGUUGCGAACGGGUGAGUAACGCGUAGGUAACCUGCCUGGUAGCGGGGGAUAACUAUUGGAAACGAUAGCUAAUACCGCAUAAUAUUAAUUAUUGCAUGAUAAUUGAUUGAAAGAUGCAAUUGCAUCACUACCAGAUGGACCUGCGUUGUAUUAGCUAGUAGGUGAGGUAUCGGCUCACCUAGGCGACGAUACAUAGCCGACCUGAGAGGGUGAUCGGCCACACUGGGACUGAGACACGGCCCAGACUCCUACGGGAGGCAGCAGUAGGGAAUCUUCGGCAAUGCACGAAAGUCUGACCGAGCAACGCCGCGUGAGUGAAGAAGGUUUUCGGAUCGUAAAGCUCUGUUGUAAGAGAAGAACGGGUGUGAGAGUGGAAAGUUCACACUGUGACGGUAUCUUACCAGAAAGGGACGGCUAACUACGUG
rnacentral:rRNA from 1 species